UACAGAGGGUGCAAACGUUGUUCGGAAUUACUGGGCGUAAAGCGCGUGUAGGCGGCUCUGUAAGUCGGGUGUGAAAUCCCACGGCUCAACCGUGGAAGUGCACUCGAAACUACAGGGCUAGAGUCCUGGAGAGGAAGGUGGAAUGCUUGGUGUAGAGGUGAAAUUCGUAGAUAUCAAGCGGAACACCGGUGGCGAAGGCGGCCUUCUGGACAGUGACUGACGCUGAGGAGCGAAAGCGUGGGGAGCGAACAGG
rnacentral:rRNA from 1 species